rnacentral:rRNA from 1 species
GUGGGGAAUAUUGGACAAUGGGCGAAAGCCUGAUCCAGCCAUGCCGCGUGUGUGAAGAAGGUCUUCGGAUUGUAAAGCACUUUAAGUUGGGAGGAAGGGCAUUAACCUAAUACGUUAGUGUUUUGACGUUACCGACAGAAUAAGCACCGGCUAACUUCGUGCCAGCAGCCGCGGUAAUACGAAUGGUGCAAGCGUUCAUCGGAAUUACUGGGCGUAAAGCGCGCGUAGGUGGUUCGUUAAGUUGGAUGUGAAAGCCCCGGGCUCAACCUGGGAACUGCAUCUAAAACUGGCGAGCUAGAGUACGGUAGAGGGUGGUGGAAUUUCCUGUGUAGCGGUGAAAUGCGUAGAUAUAGGAAGGAACACCAGUGGCGAAGGCGACCACCUGGACUGAUACUGACACUGAGGUGCGAAAGCGUGGGGAGCAAACAGGAUUAGAUACCCGUGUAGUCC